UACGGAGGAUCCAAGCGUUAUCCGGAAUCAUUGGGUUUAAAGGGUCCGUAGGCGGUUUAGUAAGUCAGUGGUGAAAGCCCAUCGCUCAACGGUGGAACGGCCAUUGAUACUGCUAGACUUGAAUUAUUGGGAAGUAACUAGAAUAUGUAGUGUAGCGGUGAAAUGCUUAGAGAUUACAUGGAAUACCAAUUGCGAAGGCAGGUUACUACCAAUGGAUUGACGCUGAUGGACGAAAGCGUGGGUAGCGAACAGG
rnacentral:rRNA from 1 species